rnacentral:rRNA from 1 species
UACGUAGGGUGCGAGCGUUGUCCGGAAUUAUUGGGCGUAAAGAGCUCGUAGGCGGCUUGUCGCGUCGUCCGUGAAAACUUGGGGCUCAACCCCAAGCUUGCGGUCGAUACGGGCAGGCUAGAGUUCGGUAGGGGAGACUGGAAUUCCUGGUGUAGCGGUGAAAUGCGCAGAUAUCAGGAAGAACACCCGUGGCUAAGGCGGCUCUCUAGUACGGUACUGACGCUGAGACGCGAAAGCGUGGGGAGCGAACAGG